rnacentral:rRNA from 1 species
AGCGCAUACGGUGGAUGCCUUGGCAGUCAGAGGCGAUGAAAGACGUGGUAGCCUGCGAAAAGCUUCGGGGAGUCGGCAAACAGACUUUGAUCCGGAGAUCUCUGAAUGGGGGAACCCACCUAGGAUAACCUAGGUAUCUUGUACUGAAUCCAUAGGUGCAAGAGGCGAACCAGGGGAACUGAAACAUCUAAGUACCCUGAGGAAAAGAAAUCAACCGAGAUUCCCUUAGUAGUGGCGAGCGAACGGGGAUUAGCCCUUAAGCUUCAUUGAUUUUAGCGGAACGCUCUGGAAAGUGCGGCCAUAGUGGGUGAUAGCCCCGUACGCGAAAGGAUCUUUGAAGUGAAAUCGAGUAGGACGGAGCACGAGAAACUUUGUCUGAACAUGGGGGGACCAUCCUCCAAGGCUAAAUACUACUGACUGACCGAUAGUGAACCAGUACCGUGAGGGAAAGGCGAAAAGAACCCCGGAGAGGGGAGUGAAAUAGAACCUGAAACCGUAUGCGUACAAGCAGUGGGAGCCUACUUGUUAGGUGACUGCGUACCUUUUGUAUAAUGGGUCAGCGACUUAUAUUCAGUGGCAAGCUUAACCGUAUAGGGUAGGCGUAGCGAAAGCGAGUCUUAAUAGGGCGUUUAGUCGCUGGGUAUAGACCCGAAACCGGGCGAUCUAUCCAUGAGCAGGUUGAAGGUUAGGUAACACUGACUGGAGGACCGAACCCACUCCCGUUGAAAAGGUAGGGGAUGACUUGUGGAUCGGAGUGAAAGGCUAAUCAAGCUCGGAGAUAGCUGGUUCUCCUCGAAAGCUAUUUAGGUAGCGCCUCAUGUAUCACUCUGGGGGGUAGAGCACUGUUUCGGCUAGGGGGUCAUCCCGACUUACCAAACCGAUGCAAACUCCGAAUACCCAGAAGUGCCGAGCAUGGGAGACACACGGCGGGUGCUAACGUCCGUCGUGAAAAGGGAAACAACCCAGACCGCCAGCUAAGGUCCCAAAGUUGUGGUUAAGUGGUAAACGAUGUGGGAAGGCUUAGACAGCUAGGAGGUUGGCUUAGAAGCAGCCAUCCUUUAAAGAAAGCGUAAUAGCUCACUAGUCGAGUCGGCCUGCGCGGAAGAUGUAACGGGGCUCAAACCACACACCGAAGCUGCGGGUGUCACGUAAGUGACGCGGUAGAGGAGCGUUCUGUAAGCCUGUGAAGGUGAGUUGAGAAGCUUGCUGGAGGUAUCAGAAGUGCGAAUGCUGACAUGAGUAACGACAAUGGGUGUGAAAAACACCCACGCCGAAAGACCAAGGGUUCCUGCGCAACGUUAAUCGACGCAGGGUUAGUCGGUUCCUAAGGCGAGGCUGAAAAGCGUAGUCGAUGGGAAACAGGUUAAUAUUCCUGUACUUCUGGUUACUGCGAUGGAGGGACGGAGAAGGCUAGGCCAGCUUGGCGUUGGUUGUCCAAGUUUAAGGUGGUAGGCUGAAAUCUUAGGUAAAUCCGGGGUUUCAAGGCCGAGAGCUGAUGACGAGUCGUCUUUUAGAUGACGAAGUGGUUGAUGCCAUGCUUCCAAGAAAAGCUUCUAAGCUUCAGGUAACCAGGAACCGUACCCCAAACCGACACAGGUGGUCGGGUAGAGAAUACCAAGGCGCUUGAGAGAACUCGGGUGAAGGAACUAGGCAAAAUGGCACCGUAACUUCGGGAGAAGGUGCGCCGGCUAGGGUGAAGGAUUUACUCCGUAAGCUCUGGCUGGUCGAAGAUACCAGGCCGCUGCGACUGUUUAUUAAAAACACAGCACUCUGCAAACACGAAAGUGGACGUAUAGGGUGUGACGCCUGCCCGGUGCCGGAAGGUUAAUUGAUGGGGUUAGCGCAAGCGAAGCUCUUGAUCGAAGCCCCGGUAAACGGCGGCCGUAACUAUAACGGUCCUAAGGUAGCGAAAUUCCUUGUCGGGUAAGUUCCGACCUGCACGAAUGGCGUAACGAUGGCGGCGCUGUCUCCACCCGAGACUCAGUGAAAUUGAAAUCGCUGUGAAGAUGCAGUGUAUCCGCGGCUAGACGGAAAGACCCCGUGAACCUUUACUGUAGCUUUGCACUGGACUUUGAGCCUGCUUGUGUAGGAUAGGUGGGAGGCUUUGAAGCGUGGACGCCAGUUCGCGUGGAGCCAUCCUUGAAAUACCACCCUGGCAUGCUUGAGGUUCUAACUCUGGUCCGUGAUCCGGAUCGAGGACAGUGUAUGGUGGGCAGUUUGACUGGGGCGGUCUCCUCCUAAAGAGUAACGGAGGAGUACGAAGGUGCGCUCAGACCGGUCGGAAAUCGGUCG